AUCAGUGUGACCAUACCACCUUGAACAUGCCUCUAACCUUAGCAGCUAGGCAAGAUGGGGCUUCAUUAGUACUUGGAUGGAGACUCCUGUGAUUUUGAGGUCAGGGAUUGAUU
rnacentral:rRNA from 1 species